rnacentral:rRNA from 1 species
UACGAAGGGGGGCUAGCGUUGUUCGGAUUUACUGGGCGUAAAGCGCACGUAGGCGGAUUGUUAAGUCAGGGGUGAAAUCCUGGAGCUCAACUCCAGAACUGCCUUUGAUACUGGCAAUCUAGAGUCCGGAAGAGGUGAGUGGAACUCCUAGUGUAGAGGUGGAAUUCGUAGAUAUUAGGAAGAACACCAGUGGCGAAGGCGGCUCACUGGUCCGGUACUGACGCUGAGGUGCGAAAGCGUGGGGAGCAAACAGGG